UACAGAGGUCUCGAGCGUUAGGCGGAAUCACUGGGCUUAAAGCGUGUGUAGGCGGAUCGGUAAGUCCCUUGUGAAAUCCCACAGCUUAACUGUGGAACUGCUUGGUAUACUGCCAGUCUUGAGCCACUUAGGGGCUACCGGAACAAAUGGUGGAGCGGUGAAAUGCGUAGAUAUCAUUUGGAACGCCAAUGGUGAAAACAGGUAGCUGGGAGUGUGCUGACGCUGAGACACGAAAGCCAGGGGAGCAAACGGG
rnacentral:rRNA from 1 species